rnacentral:rRNA from 1 species
GGUUGAUCCUGCCAGUAGUCAUAUGCUUGUCUCAAAGAUUAAGCCAUGCAUGUCUAAGUAUAAGCUUUUAUACGGUGAAACUGCGAAUGGCUCAUUAAAACAGUUAUAGUUUAUUUGAUGGUCUUUUUUACAUGGAUAACCAUGGUAAUUCUAUGGCUAAUACAUGCGCAAUGGCCUCCUUCUCUGGAGGGGCUGUGUUUAUUAGAUACAAAACCAACCCACUUCGGUGGAGUCUUGGUGAUUCAUAGUAACCGAACGGAUCGCAAUUGGCUUUUUUGGCCCGCGAUGGAU